rnacentral:rRNA from 1 species
AGUGGGGGACAACGUCUCGAAAGGGACGCUAAUACCGCAUACGUCCUACGGGAGAAAGCAGGGGACCUUCGGGCCUUGCGCUAUCAGAUGAGCCUAGGUCGGAUUAGCUAGUUGGUGAGGUAAUGGCUCACCAAGGCGACGAUCCGUAACUGGUCUGAGAGGAUGAUCAGUCACACUGGAACUGAGACACGGUCCAGACUCCUACGGGAGGCAGCAGUGGGGAAUAUUGGACAAUGGGCGAAAGCCUGAUCCAGCCAUGCCGCGUGUGUGAAGAAGGUCUUCGGAUUGUAAAGCACUUUAAGUUGGGAGGAAGGGCAUUAACCUAAUACGUUAGUGUUUUGACGU